UGUUCUAGUAAAGAUUUUUGAUGGCGAAACAGCAACCCUAAAAUUCACAACUCCCAACAAUAUCAGGUAAAUCAAUCAAAAGCCAUUAUACAAAAUAACUCAAAUCCCCCAACUUCAUCAGAGAUUGAUCACAUGAACCAAACAAAUCAACAAUGAAACCUAAUUACAAAAAUCCCUAAUAAUUAUAUAGAGAUGGUAUUCACAUUUCAAACUACUGGGUCAUCUUCUUGGUGGAAAAUGAGGGUUUUGGUCACUCUUAGAGAUAUGAGUGGUAGAAGAUUGAGACAUCUGAAUGCUGAUUAGAAAUUAGAAGAAUGGAAAGUUAAGAAGAAGAGAGGAAAUUAGAGAAAGUUACUGAGAAGUUUCUGAAGAAGAUAAGGGAAGAAUUGAAGAAAAACGGGUGUAAAGGUAGUGAGAAAUAUAGAGAGGAUUCUUAGACAUUCAUGGAAGGUGGUGAGAAUGCUGUUAGGAAUGCAUUUGGGGGUUCGAAGGAAGAUCUUUCCUACUUCUGGGGAAGUUCAGAAAAGCAUUUGAAGCUAUUGGCAGUGAAACAAAAGUGAUAGCAGUGCAGAUGAAGACGAAAGUGAUAGCAGUGCUGAUGAAGAUGAUGGACAUCGUAGUUUCUUGAUGAUGGAAGUCAUGAUAUAAAGUUAAAGGAUGGUGAAGGAAGUUCUGGUUCUGGUUCAGUGGAGAAUUUUGAUGGUGAAUCUUCUUCUCCUGGAGGUUUGACAGAGAGGAGCUCGGGAUGUUUUGAACUGGGGCAAGGGUCUGGAGUUCAUACUGAAAUCCAUCAGCUUGUAGGACCGGAGUUGGGGAGUCAUGAGGAUAUUGUAUCUGAAGCUGAGGUUCAUGUUAAAAGUAAUGGGGCUGUUGAAACUAAAUCUGAAAAUGAUAUUCAAAUAGUUGAUGAAAGUGCAAUCGUUUCGAAUCUGGAAACUGGGAGUGGUUCUGUUGAAGAAGCAGCAGUUGCAAGUGAAAACUACUCUGAUUUAGAGAAGCCAUUGGAUUUGGAUGAUUUUAACUCUGCUUCAGAGAUACAGGUUCUUGGUUUGGAGAGGUUAAAAGCAGAAUUACAAGCACAUGGAUUGUAAUGUGGGGGGAUGUUACAAGAGCUUGUUUCUAGGCUUUUCCUGCUAAAAAACACAUCUGUAAGUAAACUGCCAAAGAACCUCUUGCCAAAGAAAUAAUUUUUUGUAAUUCACAGUUGUUUAUGACAAAGUAGCUACACAGAGGUAUUGUACUGUAUCGUUUUCAAGAUAACUAUUUAAUGGAAUUGCAAACUUCGUUGUGAAAAGUCUUAUCCUGAAUACAAAGAAUGAACUUCAGCUU